CACAGAGGUUUGUUCUUAUAUUUAUUUAUUUUUUGCUAUUAGACAGAAAUGCGGUAUUACCAUUGAGUCAUCUUAACAAAAAUACAACAUUGUCCUUGAAAUCCUCACCUUAAAAAAAUUAUUAGCAAAAACAAUUUAGAGAAGCCCGUACAGCAUACAUAAAACAAAUGCAGUGAACUGGCCAUGGUGCUGCCUUUUGACUGUUUUCUAAAGUGCUUUAUGAUUUGAAUAGACAAAAAGGCAAAUAUGACAUCAAUAUAAACGUCUUUUUAAAUUAUGUUACUGUUAGUUCUAUUUUCAUGACCAGCUUUUUAUAAAACUAUAAAUAUAGUAAAUCGUCUGUAAUAGGAAAAAAAGUGCAUAAUUAAAUUAUUGGCUCUCGUCACGACAUCUGCACGCUGCGUCAGAAGGAGGUGGUUUACGGUAAAACGGCGCCAUUACCAUGUGAUCUCAGUGAUGUUUGUAAACAUGCGUCAGCCACAUGUGAUUGUGCUGAUGAGGAAAGACUCUUCAGCGGUUUCACCAAUCAGAGGACGGGGGAGUGUCCGGGGCGGAGCUGCCGUGUUGCGCUAUGGAAAAUCGUUAGGGAGACACACUGUGUCAAACGUAACUGACUGAGAUUGCUAACAGCGACAGUGACGCUGGAGCGGAAACCGAGUGGACCGAUCGUUGACCCGGGAGCGGCUCUCACUGGCGCCGGCCGGGCACGGAUGAGACUCUGUCGGCACGGAAGGAGAAAAAGGCUUACGAUAAACACAUGGCAGAAGAGGCUGUUCGAAGUUGGCUCCCAUCGGCCUCCUCCCCAGGGAACUGGUUUCAUAUGGUGUCUUAGAGUAUUAAAUCCCUUCUAGCACCAUUUGAAAUCGGUGUUCUUGAGAAGGAACAGACCUCAGAACAGCUCUCACCAUGUGGACACAUUUGGCAACGUUUGAGUCUUUGUGUAUUAUUUAUCUGAUAUGUGUGACGUCACAACGCCCCCAGUGAGACCUAUAUCUCCCUGUUCAACAGACCCCCUCUCACCAAGGCUGACCGUUUUCCUCUGGUGUUUAGAGUCUCCAUCAUGUCUAGCACCAUUUGAAAUCGGUUACAAUGUGGAGGGAAAGUCGUCGACCACGUUUCCUCUGAGGCUGAGCAUCAACUUCCCAAACAUACCACAGGGUGGUAGCAUUGAGCUACUUUUAGUCGUUGCUCCAAGAUGUCAAAGAUACUGUAGUGCAAGAGUCCAGCACUUGACUGAUGAUUCUGAAAGAUACAAAUAAAAUAAUAAACAAUUAAAAACAACACGUUUAUGAAAUUUUAAUCAUACUUUUCUACUUUUUAUAAGCAGACUUGGAGCUGUUAACAUGAACAGUACUAUAGCUGUAUGUGUUUAUAAUGAAGUAUUAAAGAUUCAUGGCUCUUAUGCGUAAAUUAUUAAUCUACUGUUAAGUCAUCAACUAAACUAAACAUAAAUGAAUGAUGUAUUGACUACUACACAAACAAACAUUUGACCCACUUUGACAGACAAUUUAUAUUUAAUUCAGUUAUAAAUAAAGCUAAUUCAGGGGGGUUUCGUGUGUGUUUAUAUUUUGGGUAAACCCUGUUAGUGACGGCCUAAUGACCUCUACUGUUUAAAAAUAAAAUCUUCUGAUGGACAGAGACAGACUGGUCCAACUGAUGAGUCCUAGAGUGUCUUCUGGAUCCCACAGAGGAGGUUAGUGAGAGAGGAAUUUGUCAAAGCUGUAAUCCAUCACGGUCAACUUCUCUGUCCUCCUACACUAUGCAAGCAAUUUGCAAUAAAGAUAAGCUGUGAAAGUAAUGUAUUCAAAUAUUGUUGGAGAAAGAAAACAUCAUGUCAGUCUGACAUAUAUAAAAGUUGAAUGAUGUUGUGGUUUUCGAUAAUAAAAAAACGUCAUAUUAAGUCUAA